rnacentral:rRNA from 1 species
UACGUAGGGCGCAAGCGUUGUCCGGAAUUAUUGGGCGUAAAGAGCUCGUAGGCGGCUUGUCACGUCGGGUGUGAAAGCCCGGGGCUUAACCCCGGGGUCUGCAUUCGAUACGGGCAGGCUAGAGUGUGGUAGGGGGAGAUCGGAAUUCCUGGUGUAGCGGUGAAAUGCGCAGAUAUCAGGAGGAACACCGGUGGCGAAGGCGGAUCUCUGGGGCCAUUACUGACGCUGAGGAGCGAAAAGCGUGGGGGAGCGAACAGGAU